rnacentral:lncRNA from 7 species
CCGGGAUCCAUGCCGCACUCCAGAGUAUAAAUGCGGGGGCCGCAAUGCCUUCCUCGUUCAUUGCGUUGUGCCUGGCACCCCUUCUCCCCUCCAUUUGAGGUAGCUCCGAAUCGUGGUUAGCACACCUCCGCCGCCGCUGUUGAAUUGAAUCCCCACCAUUGCUCCGGCCUCUUUGUUGGGUCGUGGAGGUCCGCCGAGGCUCAUGGAUCGCAUAUUGGAAUCUGGGAGGGCUCGAGGGUCAUCGUUCAGUUCGGAAUUCGUCGCCAAUGUACGUCGUCGCCGCGGAGCCGCUUCGUGUCGUGGUCCGAGUCUAUGAAUGCUCUAUGGCCG